UACGAAGGGGGCUAGCGUUGCUCGGAAUCACUGGGCGUAAAGGGUGCGCAGGCGGACUGGUAAGUCAGAGGUGAAAUCUCGUCGCUUAACGACGAAACUGCCUUUGAUACUAUCAGUCUUGAGUCCGGUAGAGAUCUGUGGAAUUCCGAGUGUAGCAGUGAAAUGUGUAGAUAUUCGGAAGAACACCAGUGGCGAAGGCAGCAGAUUGGGCCGGUACUGACGCUCAGGCACGAAAGCAUGGGGAUCAAACAGG
rnacentral:rRNA from 1 species